rnacentral:snRNA from 24 species
AUCUCUUUGCCUUUUGGCUUAGAUCAAGUGUAGUAUCUGUUCUUUUCAGUGUAACAACUGAAAUGACCUCAAUGAGGCUCAUUACCUUUAUUAUUUGUUACAAUACUCAUUUUUUGGAAGCACUUAAAUGGGCGGGAAGAAACUGAGAGGAUCCUUCCUAUUGUCUAUUCAAU